AUACCUUUCUCGGCCUUUUGGCUAAGAUCAAGUGUAGUAUCUGUUCUUAUCAGUUUAAUAUCUGAUACGUGGGUCAUCGACCCACCUUGAUAUUAAAUUAAUUUAUUGUGGGGGAGGGUCCGCCUACAAUGGCUUGCCAUUGGGGCCCUCAAGCGUCGCCCAUGCGUUGCACUACCGCUCGGGCCUGGCGCACCCCUA